CUUUGAUAACUGGAAUGUGUACGAAGUCUUGAACCCAUUCAUGAAGGGAUGGGACCCUGUCUUUAUCAAACACCUUCAUUUCUCCAACUUCAUCAAGAACACUGAGCCAGUGGCACAUCCACCCUGCAGCUAAAUCCAGCCUCCACAGCCUUCUCCUUCUCUUCUCCUUCAGCCUGGCAUGCUUCCCAGGCACCCAGCAGGCCCUGCGUUCACAAAAACAUGGUCAGUAUCUUAGUCUUUAUUAUCUAAAACCAUAUAACUUUGGGUUACCUUCUCAUCUAAAAACUUAGCCCAGAAGCGAGCCAUGGCUCUGUUAUAUGGAUCUUCAGGCAUGAGGGGGUUGUCCUUCCACGUCUCGUCGAUGUAUUCGAGGAUGAGAAGCGACUCGGAUAUGGCUUUGCCAUGGUGCAAGAGCACAGGUAUUUUUUUGUGCACAGGGUUGGACUUGAGAAGCAGCUCACUUUUGUUUCUCACGUCUUCAGGUAUGUACUCAUACUCAAUUCCUUUGAGCUUCAAGGCCCAUUCAACCCUUACAGAGAAGAGGCUUGCAGCAGACCCAAUAAUCUUUACCUCUGCCAUUGUUUGUUGUUGAUCCUUGCAUAUUGUCUCAAACUCUUAGCCUUUUAUAGUCUCUAUGUUGCUUCUGGGUGAUUAUUAUUUGUCUAAAAUUUACCUUUCAAAUGUAGGAAAUGGCAGCUUUGACAAGGAGCUUGAGUCAAAGGAAAGCGCUAAUGAAUUCUUCAAGUGGGUUCCCAUUCUCCUAGUGUUCUAGCAGGAAGAGGUUUCCAUACCCUUAUAAAGAAUGCUUUGUUUCUCUCUCCAACUGAUGUGAGAUCUCACAAUCCACCCCCUCUGGGGCCCAACGUCCUCGUUGUCACACCGCCUGGUAACUGACUUUAAUACUAUUCGUAACAAUCCAAGUCUAUCGCUUUGAUCCGUUACGUGUCGUCGCCAGCUUCACGAGUUUUAAACGCGUCUGUUAGGGAGAGAUUUCCACACACUUAUGCUCUGUUCCCCUUUCCAACCUUUUCAACCGAUAUAGGAUCUCACGUUUUUGUUCGUUUUUUUAUAACUUAUGUAAUCAAUGAAAUCGUUGAAGCCCCCAGAUCUGACCCAUUCUCCUUGGAGGAUUCAAAGUCUACCAUCAGCUACAAGAAUGUUCAAGGAUUAGUACGUAUUCGACUUUCCAUUGCAAUGGCAACGUCAUUGCUUGCGGUAGAUAUAGCUUGGUUUCCUCUCCUUUCUUACAUUUUUUCUUGUUUGAAAAGGUACGUUGCCUCAUUUCAUUGAUCACAAUAGUUUUAAAUUCGUCAUUUUUAUACGUAUUGAAAUGGAGGAUUCAAGUGUUUGUUCGUUUC